CCACUGGGUUUCUGGAGCUGAAACCACAGAGGUUCUGAGGCCAAUUCCACCCCUGUGGAGAAGGAAAUCUUAGCAGCCUAUGAAGGCAUACAAGCAGCUUCAGAGCUUUCAGAUUCAGCAAUGUCCUCACUCCUGACAGACCAGGGUCCCCUUUCCAGAGUAAUGGAGGAGCACCAUGAUUUUUUAAUCCAAAAUUCCCGGAUUUGAAUGAAAUGCUCUGGAAAGGCUCUGGAAAUCAUUGGGUGUUCACAAUCAUCAAUGAAGAUGUUCACCAGGAAUUGCUGAUCACUGGCCUCCAGCUGGAUGUUGCACUCCUGAUCACCACCCCGGCCAGCAGAUUUCAACCAGCCUGCUGUCUGCUCAUCCAGCCGAUACUUCAUGGGCUUCUCUGUGAGGGAGCCCUGUCUGUGUCCACUAGUACACACAUUCAUUUUGAUUUUAAACAAUCAAACAGAAGGGAGAGUUUUAA